AAUAUAUACAAAUUCUACAGAAUCUUACAAGGGUUCACAAUAACAAAGACGUAUGAUAUACAUUUCAGAUAUACAAGGAACGAUAUCGUGCCAAGAUUGCUAACCAGCCACACCCAAUUGUAGCACAACGUCCUUUUCCUUAGUAAGCUAAGCCUCCACUAAAUGCAUCCCCAUCGUUUAGCAAACUCUCAGUAAGCCAAUACCCAUCCCACGAGCCGCCAACCCUCUGAACCAUGGUGAAUUGAAAUAUUUCUUCUUCCUUGGGGCGACAACCUCGUAUCCAUACCCGCUGCUUGAAUCGGUUCUCCUCUACAAACAAACUGCUCAAAAUCUUUCUCUCUUUAUGGCCUAACAAUACACGAUAGGUUGAAUGGUGG
rnacentral:misc_RNA from 1 species